GGCUCUAUAGUGGAAAAAAAGACGUUGGAUUGCAAAUCUAGAGAUGUGUUUAAAAGACACUAGGGCUU
rnacentral:tRNA from 1 species